AGCUCUACCUUAGUUUCUUUAUUAUACGAAACAAAAUACUAAACUUAAGAGCUAUUCAAAUAAGGUACAGCUUAUUUGAAACAGGCUACAACCUCCAACACCGGGUUAAUAUAGAUUUUAUAAGUUAAGUGGGCCUAAAAGCAGCCAUCUUACAGAAAGCGUUAAAGCUCAACUAUUUUCCCUUCUUAAAUUCCAAAAAUUAUCUUCAACCCUUCAUUACUACUGAACUAUUUUAUACCUAUAUAAAAGUUAUCAUGCUAGAACUAGUAACAAGAAUUAGCCCUUCUCCAAAAUGUAUACUUAAGCCAAAAUGGACACCCCAUUGGCAGUUACCGCAAAUGCACCCAUUAUAGUACCUCACAACUAGACAACUCUAUAACUUUUAGCGUUAACCUGACACUAGAACAUUACAGGAAAGAUUAAAAGAGAAAGAAGGAACUCGGCAAAUCUCGGUCCCGCCUGUUUACCAAAAACAUCGCCUCUUGACUAAAUAUAAGAGGUCCAGCCUGCCCACUGACAUAGUUUAACGGCCGCGGUACCCUAACCGUGCGAAGGUAGCAUAAUCACUUGUUCUUUAAAUAAGGACUCGUAUCAACGGCAUCACGAGGACUGUACUGUCUCCUUUCUCCAAUCAGUGAAACUGAUCUCCCCGUGAAGAAGCGGGGAUUAACCUAUAAGACGAGAAGACCCCAUGGAGCUUAAAGCCCAUAAACACCUCUACGCACUUAAAUCAACUUAGCCUAAGAGACCUGUCAGCCAGCUUUAGGUUGGGGGGACCGCGGAGAAAAACUUAACCUCCACGACAAACGGGCAAACGCCCUUAUCCGUGAAUUACAAUUCUAAGAAUCAAUAAACUGAUGUUUAAUGACCCGAUUAUUCGAUCAACGAACCAAGUUACCCUGGGGAUAACAGCGCAAUCUACUUUAAGAGCCCAUAUCGACAAGUAGGUUUACGACCUCGAUGUUGGAUCAGGGUAUCCUAGUGGUGCAGCCGCUACUAAAGGUUCGUUUGUUCAACGAUUAAAACCCUACGUGAU
rnacentral:rRNA from 1 species